GUUCAGUGGACCGUGACAUUGGGGUAAAAACUCUAAUUUGGCAUUAAAAUUAAAAAGAUCAUAUCAUAGGGAACAUGUGUACCAAGUUUGAAGUCGAUUGGACUUCAACUUCAUCAAAAACUACCUUGACCAAAAACUUUAACCUGAAGAGGGACAGACGGACGGACGAACGGACGAACGGACGAACAGACGCACAGACCAGAAAACAUAAUGCCCCCCUACUAUCGUAGGUGGGGCAUAAAAAUGCACAGCUGUGUCAUGAUUUGUGAAAUCUGUGCUGAAAACAUAGGCAUUUAUGGUGUUUGAGUAAUUCCAUCUGUGAAGCUCAACAUUAGCUCGUCAGUUCGUGGUGGACAGUUAUAAAUCUUUCCUGCAGGAUGAAUGUACAUCUAUUCAGGAAAACCAAUUUCACAAAUCAAAACUUUCCUCUAGAUUUCUCCUACAAUAUUCAUCCAGUUUAGUUCUUUUGGUUUAACGGGACACCGUCCUGAUUUUUAAUUUUGUAAACCAUUCAGUCUCUUGCUUACAAAUGGUGCAUGAAAAUAGGAUGGGAAUGCA
rnacentral:lncRNA from 1 species